rfam:Neocallimastix californiae strain G1 LY90scaffold_67, whole genome shotgun sequence.
GCUUAGAUGAUGAUUUAAUUUUUCACGACGGUCUAAUGAAAUAUAAUGAUUAGACUGCCUGUGACAAGGCAUUAAACUGAAA